GACGAACGCUGGCGGCGUGCCUAAUACAUGCAAGUUGAGCGCUGAAGGUUGGUACUUGUACCGACUGGAUGAGCAGCGAACGGGUGAGUAACGCGUGGGGAAUCUGCCUUUGAGCGGGGGACAACAUUUGGAAACGAAUGCUAAUACCGCAUAAAAACUUUAAACACAAGUUUUAAGUUUGAAAGAUGCAAUUGCAUCACUUAAAGAUGAUCCCGCGUUGUAUUAGCUAGUUGGUGAGGUAAAGGCUCACCAAGGCGAUGAUACAUAGCCGACCUGGGAGGGGGGAGGGCCAACUUGGGCCUGGGGCACGGGCCAAACUCCUACGGGCGGCAGGAGGAGGGAAUCUUCGGCAAUGGACGAAAGUCUGACCGAUGAACGCCGCGUGAGUGGAGAAGGUUUUCGGAUCGUAAAACGCUGUUGGUUGAGGAGAACGUUGGUGAGAGUGGAAAGCGCAUCAAGUGACGGUAACUACCCAGAAAGCGACGGCUAACUACGUG
rnacentral:rRNA from 1 species